GGCUGGUCCGAAGGUAGUGAGUUGUCUCAAUUGAUCAUUAACAGUCAGUUACAGAUCGAACUUGUUCUACUCUUCCCCUGUUCUCACUACUGCACUUGACUAGUCUUAA
rnacentral:Y_RNA from 1 species